AACGAACGCUGGCGGCGUGGCUAAGGCAUGCAAGUCGAACGAACAUAUUCCGAGGGUAACUGAGGAGUAUGUUAGUGGCGAACGGGUGAGGAAUACAUGGAACAACGUACCCUGGACACGGGGGAUAGCGGCGGGCCGCAAGGCUCUUUAGCGAAAGUGCCGGUAAUACCCGAUGAUCCCGCGGAAUCGCAUGGUUCUGCGGGCAAAGCUCCGACGGUCUAGGAUCGGUUCAUGCCCUAUCAGCUAGUUGGUGAGGUAACGGCUCACCAAGGCAACGACGGGUACCGGGCGUGAGAGCGUGACCCGGCACAUCGGAACUGAGAUACGGUCCGGACACCUACGGGUGGCUGCAGCAACGAAUAUUCCGCAAUGGACGCAAGUCUGACGGAGCGACGCCGCGUGUAGGAUGAAGUCCCUCGG
rnacentral:rRNA from 1 species